CUUGAUCGACCCCAAUCGCAGCGGGCGAGCCGCGGGCCGGUCCUGCCCGUAGGUCGCCAACAGCGCGUGCGCCUC
rnacentral:antisense_RNA from 1 species